GACGAACGCUGGCGGCGUGCUUAACACAUGCAAGUCGAACGGAAAGGCCCUGCUUUUGUGGGGUGCUCGAGUGGCGAACGGGUGAGUAACACGUGAGUAACCUGCCCUUGACUUUGGGAUAACUUCAGGAAACUGGGGCUAAUACCGGAUAGGAGCUCCUGCUGCAUGGUGGGGGUUGGAAAGUUUCGGCGGUUGGGGAUGGACUCGCGGCUUAUCAGCUUGUUGGUGGGGUAGUGGCUUACCAAGGCUUUGACGGUUAGCCGGCCUGAGAGGGUGACCGGCCACAUUGGGACUGAGAGACGGCCCAGACUCCGACGGGAGGCAGCAGUGGCGAAUAUUGCACAAUGGGCGGAAGCCUGAGGCAGCAACGCCGCGGGCGGGAUGACGGCCUUCGGGUUGUAAACCGCUUUCGCCUGUGACGAAGCGUGAGUGACGGUAAUGGGUAAAGAAGAACCGGCUAACUACGUG
rnacentral:rRNA from 1 species